GAGUUUGAUCAUGGCUCAGGAUUAACGCUGGCGGCGUGCCUAACACAUGCAAGUCGAGCGGCAGCGAGUUUUACACUGAAUUCUGGAAGCUUCUAGUUGAAAGAGAAGAUUUAUUCAAGAAUUUUGUGUAAAAUGUCGGCGAGCGGCGGACGGCUGAGUAACGCGUGGGAACGUACCCCAAAGUGAGGGAUAACGCAUCGAAAGGUGUGCUAAUACCGCAUAUGGUCUUCGGAUUAAAGCCUUCGGGCGCUUUGGGAACGGCCUGCGUAAGAUUAGAUAGUUGGUGGGGUAAUGGCCUACCAAGUCGACGACCUUUAACUGGUUUGAGAGGAUGAUCAGUCAGACUGGAACUGAGACACGGUCCAGACUCCUACGGGAGGCAGCAGUGAGGAAUCUUCCACAAUGGGCGAAAGCCUGAUGGAGCAACGCCGCGUGCAGGAUGAAGGCCUUCGGGUUGUAAACUGCUUUUAUAAGUGAUGAUUAUGACAGUAACUUAUGAAUAAGGAUCGGCUAACUACGUGCCAGCAGCCGCGGUCAUACGUAGGAUCCGAGCGUUAUCCGGAGUGACUGGGCGUAAAGAGUUGCGUAGGUGGUUUAAUAAGCGAAUAGUGAAAUCUGGUGGCUCAACCAUUCAGACUAUUAUUCGAACUGUUGAACUCGAGAGCAGAAGAGGUAGCUGGAAUUUCUAGUGUAGGAGUGAAAUCCGUAGAUAUUAGAAGGAACACCGAUGGCGUAGGCAGGCUACUGGGCUGUUUCUGACACUGAGGCACGAAAGCGUGGGGAGCGAACCGGAUUAGAUACCCGGGUAGUCCACGCCGUAAACGAUGGAUACUAGCUGUUUGGGGUAUCGACCCCCUGAGUAGCGAAGCUAACGCGUUAAGUAUCCCGCCUGUGGAGUACGAUCGCAAGAUUAAAACAUAAAGGAAUUGACGGGGACCCGCACAAGCGGUGGAUCAUGUUCUUUAAUUCGAUGAUAACCGAUAAACCUUACCAGGUCUUGACAUCCUUGGAAUCUUUCAGAAAUGAGAGAGUGCUUUUUAAGAGCCAAGUGACAGGUGAUGCAUGGCCGUCGUCAGCUCGUGUCGUGAGAUGUUUGGUUAAGUCCAUCAACGAGCGCAACCCUUGUCAGUAGUUGUAUUUUUCUACUGAGACUGCCCCGGUAACGGGGAGGAAGGAGGGGAUGACGUCAGGUCAGUAUUUCCCUUACGUCCUGGGCUAGAAACGUGAUACAAUGGCUAGUACGAUGCGCAGCGAAGCCGCGAGGUGAAGCAAAUCGCAUCAAAGCUAGUCCCAGUUCGGAUUGUAGGCUGAAACUCGCCUGCAUGAAGUCGGAAUCGCUAGUAAUCGCAGAUCAGCAUGCUGCGGUGAAUACGUUCCCGGGUCUUGCACACACCGCCCGUC
rnacentral:rRNA from 1 species